rnacentral:rRNA from 1 species
UACGAAGGGGGCUAGCGUUGCUCGGAAUCACUGGGCGUAAAGCGCACGUAGGCGGAUUGUUAAGUUAGAGGUGAAAGCCCGGGGCUCAACCCCGGAAUUGCCUUUAAGACUGCAUCGCUUGAAUCCGGGAGAGGUGAGUGGAAUUCCGAGUGUAGAGGUGAAAUUCGUAGAUAUUCGGAAGAACACCAGUGGCGAAGGCGGCUCACUGGACCGGCAUUGACGCUGAGGUGCGAAAGCGUGGGGAGCAAACAGG